UCUGUUCCAAUAUUUGGACUUUGACCUCAGUUCCUGACACAGAUCUCCUAAAUCCUUGGCAAUUUCCUGGAUGAUAGGAUCAUCUUUUGUUCUAAUGAAGCAACUCUUGGUGGGCUCACAGAGAGUCUCAAGACAGGAGCUGGUUGCCAAGGAAACCAACCAUGCAAUAAGAGGAUUAGAAUAUUCAGCCCCACCCCAUGACUUCCAGAGACAGAGGAAAGGCUGAAGGUUGAGUUGAUUACCAGUAGCUCACGAUAUAAUCAUUCAUGCCUACAUAACACAGCUUUCAUAAGAACCCAAUAGGACAGGGUUCAAGGACCCUCUAAAGAAUGCCACACCUAUAGAGGCAUGGAAACUCUUUGCCACUUUCAUCUGACUAUUGAUCUAUAUCCUUUGUAAUGCCUCUUAUAAGAAAUGGGCAGAUUCUAGCAGUGUUUGUGAGAAAAACUGAUGGAUCCUGCAGAUUAACUAUGGACAGCCAAAUAUUGAGUAAAGUGAUGUCUACAACAGCAUCAGCUAUGCCUGAUAUGGUGUUAAUUCACAUUGUGAAGUUCCAAAAUCAGAAGAUGAUACAGAAAGAUUGCUCUGGUUGCCUGGUUUCUGAAGAAAUCGUGUACCCUGUCUGGAUAGUGUCUUACUUCCUAUCCACAAAGUUGUGAAAUAAUCUGGAAUUAAAUGGCAACCUAAACAACCCUAGAGUUGCCUGAACACAGAGCCAUUGCUGUGUUGAUCAUUAUAGCAGUCCUCAAUAGGAAAAAGAUGCCUCCCUGGUCGACCUUCCUGGAAAGUAUGCAUAUCAUUACUGCUUAGAUUUUGUUGGAGAGAAAUCACACUACCAUCAAAGACAACGGGUCAAAAAGAAUGCCGUCCUAAGCUGAGAAGCCAUCUUCCUAACGACAGCCAUGUAAUAUGAAAGGGAAAAACACACUGUUAUUGAAGAACUUAUCAGCUAUGUCACAUCUUCCACACAAAUACUCAGGAUUGCUAAAGUCCUAUUGCAUGCUUUAAGAUGCCUUGCGUUUGGUGAAUUGAAGCCUGAUAUGUCAACAUACUCUCUGUAAACACAGCAGCACAGAGGGCAAAGAAACACUUAUCCAGCACCACAGCUAGGACAAAAGGAAUUAUUUUGACAGUAAAUGGACUUGCAGCUUAAGUUAAGUGCAUUAAUAUUGGGAUGGUAUUAACUAUACAAAAUUGUUUCUAAGCAAAGGUGACCAGAUGUCCUAAUUUGACUGAUUGAUUUGUUUGCUUAGUUAAAUACCCUUGUAAUUUGAUUGUUUAUAGAUGUUUGCCUACUCUUAUUUUUAUCAAUCUGCUAAGUGCUAUGCAUAGAAAAGUAUAUAUUUGAAAUUAACUAUUUUUCAUUACAAUAUUCUAGCUUAUGUGCUUAUUUUUCAUAAACUAUUUAUCUAGUAAUCACCAUGAAAUCAAAUGGUUAUUUGUAGUGGGAUGGUUCUAAAAAUAUUAAUGUGAUAUUUUAUUUCUGAUAGUAUUUAAUAAGACAAGUCCUAAAUUUAAAACCAUGUAUUUCUUUAUAGACAAAUCUUUCUCUUUACUCACCAACUCUUUCUACUCUUUUGUGGUAGAACUUUUUGUCACCAUUUUAUUAGCUCAGAUUGUGAGCAAAGACACAUUAAAAUGGAUAGAGAAGUUGAUGUCACAAUUGCUAAACUGAUUAAAAUAACUGAAUAAUGAUUUUAAUUUACUCAUUUUGGUUAAACCAAAAAUACUUGUCUCUACCAUCAAAAAAAUGCAAAAGUCCAUGUUUUGGAGCAUGUUAAUGAAAUAUAUAAUUUUUAAAAUAAACAACAUCAACAGUUGUCAAAAAUUAAAGCGAUAAAAAUAUAGAUUUCAUCUCUUGGCAGGGUAAAGUCUUCAUGUUAGUUGAAUAGUAAAUGUUACUCUUUCAAAUUAAGAUGUCUCUACCAAAUGGGGCAUUUAAUAAGGACUGACAAUUUGGAUCCAAAUUUAUUGUUCUGUGACCAUAUUAAAUUGAGAAAUACAGAAGUGUACACAUAUUAAAAAUGUACACUACAUGAUUCCCAAUUUAAGAAAAACUAAAGACAAACUAUAAAAUACAUAGAUCAACCACAUGUUUUAUUCAUAUUACUUAGCAUACUUCAAAUGAAGUUUCAAAACUCUACAUUGUUUGUGUCAUGUUAAUAAACCAUACUAUCUUGAAUAAUCAUGAAAUAAAAUUAAUUGAAAUAAUUCAACUAGUAUGAUAAGUGUGUAUUUAAUUAAGUCAAUUGCAAGCAUAAUAAAGAAAAACAAUAAAAAAUCACAAUUUUUAUUCAGUUAGAGGUUGUAGUAUUUGUCCCCAAAGGAAAAUUAAUCUAUUCAUAGUUGCCUUAAUAUUGGGGAUAGUAUUCUCAAACAUUUUUAGGUGUACAAACUAUGCCUUUUUGUUUAUCUAAUUUAAAGUUAUCAAAUUUACAGCAAAUGUACUUUGGAAUAUAAACUCUCCUUCAAUAAUACAAUCCAAAAAACAAAGACUUAUUUCUGAAAUAUACUAUUAGAAAUAAGGCAUAUUGGCAGGGCACGGUGGCUCACGCCUUAAUCCCAGCACUUUGGGAGGCCAAGGCCGGCAGAUCACAAGGUCAGGAGAUUGAGACCAUCCUGAGUAACACGGUGAAACCCCGUCUGUACAAAAAAUACAAAAAAUUAGCUGGGUGUGGUGGCAUGCGCCUAUAGUCCCAGCUACUCGGGAGGCUGAAGCAAGACAAUCACUUGAACCUGGUAGGCGAAGGUUGGAGUGAGCCGAGAUCGCGCCCCUGCACUCCAGCCUGGGAGAGACAGAGAGAGACUUCCAGUCUUAAAAAAAAAAAAAAGUCGUAUUUAAAAAACAAGGAGUAACUGAAAAAGUAACUAUAUAACUAAUAUAUUACUCUCUGAACUAUGUAACAAAAAUAUUUCUCUACAAAAUACUAUUAUUCCUAUAAUCCAUUUAUUUCUAUAUACCAUGUUUGUGUCACUAUAGGUUGGUAUGUACCCAAUUGUGACUAAACCAAAAGAAACAAAUCUGGAAACUGAAGUAUCAAUACGUGAAAAGCGUUCUUUUGGUAUUGGGAGUGCCAGUUGUCUUUGUUUCAUGAACUACUUCUCCGUAAUAGCAUGCAGCCAUCUUCAAGAGGUGAGAAUUUCACUUAGCGACUUAAACAGAAGUGUUAUCUCAAGAUAAUAUAAUAUCUGGAGGUUCUGGUGGACAAUUUCCAGUCUGGAGUCUGCAUUUGGAGAGAUUCUACAGCACAUGCAUGAAUGAGGAGGAGGUGGUGUCCCAAGGGCAUUUAUAUCUUUGCUCUGUAUUUGGAGGAGAAUGGAGAGUUCCAAAUGAUCAGAGCUUGCACAUUACUAGAUCCCCUUUCUAAUGGAGUAUCUGCUGAGGAGACUGGAAUGAGGAAGGAAUUCAUUAAGUCUGAUUGUCUCUGAACAGCAAAGUUCCUGAGGUCAGUCUGAAGUGAAAUAAACUAUUCAAAAGCUUAAAAUACCCUGAAUAAGAAUAAAACAUGCCAGUAAUUAAAAUGAUUUGAGGAUUUUAUUCUAAAUACAUUUUAAAGAUCAAAGACUAAAUCUACCAACAGGCAAAGCAUGAAGACUAGAGUUCUGUGAAUUUAGCCUUUAGACUUAAUCUCUGAGGAAAAGAAAACCAAUCUCAGACAAAGACAUACGAAGCCAGGGAGAAUUGUUAGAUAUAUUAUCUCUAAUUCCAGUGGGGCUAUCCGUGUUAAAAAUUAGUAAGAGGGAAAAAAGUACAUGGUAAAAACUGCAGAAGGAAUAAAGAAAAAAAAAGCAUAAACAGUAUUAUUUGCUAACGUUGAAAGACACACAAACUCUUAAGAUUAGAAACUCUAAUAUCAAUACAAAUAAAUUUUACAUGUAAAAUACCAGAAUAAAAUAGAUAAUGCAGAACUAAUCAAGCUGAGAAAAGAAGCACAAUUACUGUAGAACCAAUACAUGAGUAAGAAAAAGUAUGUAAGAGUAGAAUUCACUUAUGUUGAUACCUAAAUAAAUCAACUGGAAGGGAGGAUUGGAUAAUCAUGAGAGAAGUCACAAGAAAUUUAGACAACAUCAUUAUCAGUAGAUAACUUUAUGUCUCACCUUCCUGUUUAAAACUUCAACCCUUCUAUCCACCCUGUACACUCAGCAGAAAACUUUUCCCAAUAUUUCAUUUAAAAAAUGGCAACAAUCAGAAGAGAGCACCUCUCCUUCCACUCUUAAGUGUACCAGUGCCCCUUUAUGUGACCACCUAUGUUCAGACAUUACUCACAAUACAAUAAAGAAAUGUCCCUGUUUUUGUCUAAGACCUUUCAUUUAUGAUCUAGAUGACAUGCCCUUCCAUUAGAUCAAUGAUUUGAACACUGAAAUUGUCCUCGCUCAUCCUGCAUCAUUAGAAGUUCUCUCUUGUUUCUAUCAUGUAUGGAGUUAUAGAAGAAAACACAUGUUAAAAAAAUUUUCCUUAAACAAGCAUCUCUCUCCAAUAACUUCCUAAUUCUCCCCAGUCCAUUGGAAAAGUAGUAAGCUAAGAGAGUCGCAUAUUUUUCUGUUACUGACUACUUCUCCACUGACACACUUUUCAAGUCAUUCCAUAUAGACUUUUAUUCCCACUUAGUUAAAGAAAGAGAAAUAACAAAGAACUUAGUGGGGUUGAUGGAUGUUAUUAUAACAUACAUUUAUACAACUAAUACUUAGAAGGUAUUUAUGUAUUGGACUAUGUCAUGAGAAUUUUUAGUAAGCUUGCUACUUGAUAAUACUCAAUUGGAAAAUAGAGAGAGCCAGAUUCUUAGGAGUACAAAUGAGAAAUGAAAAUCUGUAAUGGAUAUCUCUACUUGUAAUCUUUAUAGAUAUAAAAAAAGGAGUCACACAGCAUUCAGAAUAUUCGUAACCAGAUGCUUAUGAAUAGAGUUUAAUUUGUUGGUGCACCUUUCCCCUACCAUUCUUUCUAAGUACAAUUAAGCAGGUAGAAUUGAGGGAGUUUCUAUUUCCACUCAAACAUUUGAAAAAGAUGAAGUAAAG
rnacentral:lncRNA from 10 species